rnacentral:rRNA from 1 species
UGGGGAAUUUUGGACAAUGGGCGAAAGCCUGAUCCAGCAAUGCCGCGUGUGUGAAGAAGGCCUUCGGGUUGUAAAGCACUUUUGUCCGGAAAGAAAUCCUCUGGGUUAAUACCUCGGGGGGAUGACGGUACCGGAAGAAUAAGCACCGGCUAACUACGUGCCAGCAGCCGCGGUAAUACGUAGGGUGCAAGCGUUAAUCGGAAUUACUGGGCGUAAAGCGUGCGCAGGCGGUUUUGUAAGACGGAUGUGAAAUCCCCGGGCUUAACCUGGGAACUGCAUUCGUGACUGCAAGGCUAGAGUAUGGCAGAGGGAAGUGGAAUUCCAUGUGUAGCAGUGAAAUGCGUAGAGAUGUGGAAGAACACCGAUGGCGAAGGCAGCUCCCUGGGUUGACACUGACGCUCAUGCACGAAAGCGUGGGGAGCAAACA